rnacentral:tRNA from 1 species
GGUGGCUCAGUGGGAGAGCACUUGCCUUGCAAGCAUGAGGCCCUGGGUUCGAUUCCUCAGCACCA